AGAGAUUAUAUUAUGUUUGAAAGAUGGAACAAAUAGCACAUUAUGAAGAAUGAUGGAAGAGGUUAGGGAAAAGCGCCAGUGGAGGUGACCUUUACCUUGUAACCAUUAGGAAGGGUUACAAGAUAAGGUACAAGUAAUGGUGUAAUGUUGAAGAGUAAUUGUUGUUAGAUGUCAUAUGGUCAGAGGCUCCUGAAUCUAUUAUCCAAGAGACAUAAUUAAUGUGGGUAGCUAGACACAAUUUGGAAUUAGAAACAGGACUAUGAGAAAGUAAUGUACCAGCAAAAUCGGCAGAACACAUAGCAGAUGAAGUUUGAGCAUUGGAGUCCCCCAAUUUGGACUGUUGCAAUAAGCUCAUCAGUUGAUCAUAAUGUUCUCUGCUCAAACAGGGAAUCACAGAGCCAUGACUCUCAACAGGAGAUCCAGAGAUAUGACAGUUUUCCCCAUCAGAAGAAGGAAAAGAGGUGGCAAGGGCAGCAGUAGGUGCAGCAGGAGAUCUCUUUCCCUUAUUAAAUCUCAUCCCUUGAGGAAAUCCAUGAAGUUUGUAACACUUAUCAACUAAGUGUCCAGACUUCUUGCAAUAUUUGCAGAAAGGAGACCCUUUAGACUGAUCAAAAUUUACCCUCUGUGAGAACUGUUUGACUUUAGGUGCAGAAGAAUUAUGUGUGCUGACAGUGAAUGACAUGGAGUCAGAAUUGAACUGGGAGACAGAUUUACCCUCUGUGAGAACUAUUUGAGAUUAGGUGCAGAAGAAUUAUGUGUGCUGACAGUGAAGGACAUGGAGUCAAAAUUGAACUGGGAGACAGACUGAACCUGUCUCUGUUUUUCAUCAUUGAGAAGAACGUUGUACACACUGUCAAGGCUAGGAGGGGGUUGCAUCAUUAGCAGAUUGCUUCUUACCCCCAAGUAUGUGUCAUUCAGACCCAUGAGGAACUGAAACACUUUGUUUUCCUCAUCCUCCUUUAUAAUCCCAGUCUUAGCAGCACAAAUACCCCUCUAACCAUGAUUUGGACAUAUUGUAUCUAACUCAUCCUAUAAUCCUUUGAGUUUAUUAAAAUAGGAUGCUAUAUCUAGAGAACCCUGAGAUAAUUGAGAAAAUUCUCUUUUCAGCUCAAAAAUUUUUGUUCUACUAGCUGUCCCAUACCUAGCCUCAAGUUGUGUCCAUAUAUUCUGUGCAGUUUCAGAAUACUGGACACUUUCAGCAAUUGAAGGAGACAAAGAGGCACUCAACCAAGAUAUGACCAUAUAAUUGCAUCUAUCCCACAAUUUCUGCUCAGGCAAGUUAGUGUCUGGUCUAGGACAAGUUCCGUCAAUGAAACCAAUUUUAUUCUUAGCGGACAAAGCAACCACCAUUUUUCUUUUCCAACCCCCGUAACCACUACCCGAGAAGGGAGUGGGUACCAGUGAGACACCAGGUACAUCAGAAGAGUAGACAUAUAGGGGACUGGUAGGGUCAAGAGGUGGUGAUUGACAGGAUUGACAGGAUCCAUGAUUGCAAACAGAGACAAAGCAACAAAAAUGAUAGAAUAUGAUACAAUAUCUAUAAGGCACACAAUACAGCAACUAAUUCAACAACACAGCACAGAUAAGUGCUACUCGAGAAAAGAAAUUAGGGUUACCAGACUUCUACGCUACCGGAGAAGUUACGGCCUUCAGACAACACGAAAACCCUAGCUUGAAGGGAAGUUUGAUGAAAUCGAGCACAUAAGGCAUCGGAAAAUCACCCUAACACCAUGCUCGAAUGGAGAUUAACCAGAAAUCGUCACUGAGUUUGCACGAAUGCCUAACUCUUAGAAAAGUUGAUGAAAUCGAGCAGAGAAGGUGAAGCACACAAGGCAUCGGGAAAUCACCCUAACACCAUGAUCGAAUGGAGAUUAACCAGAAAUCGUCACUAAGUUUGCACAAAUGCCCUAACUCUCAGAAAAGUUGAUGAAAUCGAGCAGAGAAGGUGUCGGAAAAUCACCCUAACACCACGCUUGACGAAAUCACCCACAGAUCAUCACCGAUCUUACUGUCGGUUAAGAAAAAUCAAAAGAGAACCACAAAAUCAUCUCCGAUAUCACCAGGAAUCCAAGCCGAAGAAUCAAACCGAUGUAUACUGUGUGCGAGAGGAAGAAACCUGCUCUGAUACCAUGAUAAGAAUGGACCUUGGGCCUAACUCAACCCCAAAAGCUAGCUUAU
rnacentral:lncRNA from 1 species